AGUGAACGCUGGCGGUAGGCCUAACACAUGCAAGUCGAACGGCAGCACAGUAAGAGCUUGCUCUUACGGGUGGCGAGUGGCGGACGGGUGAGGAAUACAUCGGAAUCUACUUUUUCGUGGGGGAUAACGUAGGGAAACUUACGCUAAUACCGCAUACGACCUACGGGUGAAAGCAGGGGAUCUUCGGACCUUGCGCGAUUGAAUGAGCCGAUGUCGGAUUAGCUAGUUGGCGGGGUAAGGCCCACCAAGGCGACGAUCCGUAGCUGGUCUGGGAGGAUGAUCAGCCACACUGGAACUGAGACACGGUCCAGACUCCUACGGGAGGCAGCAGUGGGGAAUAUUGGACAAUGGGCGCAAGCCUGAUCCAGCCAUACCGCGUGGGUGAAGAAGGCCUUCGGGUUGUAAAGCCCUUUUGUUGGGAAAGAAAAGCAGCAGGUUAAUACCCCGCUGUUCUGACGGUACCCAAAGAAUAAGCACCGGCUAACUUCGUG
rnacentral:rRNA from 1 species